rnacentral:rRNA from 1 species
AAUGAACGUUGGCGGCGUGGAUUAGGCAUGCGAGUCGCGCGAGAAUGUAGCAAUACAGGAAAGCGGCGAAAGGGAGAGGAAUAGGUGGGAAUCUGCCCCUGGAUCGGGGAUAGCUACGGGAAACUGUAGGUAAUACCCGAUAACGUCUUUGGACCAAAGGUGUGAUUCCGUCCGGGGAUGAGCCCACCUCCUAUUAGCUUGUUGGCGGUGUAAUAGACCACCAAGGCAUUGAUGGGUAGCUGGUGUGAGAGCACGACCAGCCUCACUGGCACUGAGACACUGGCCAGACACCUACGGGUGGCUGCAGUCGAGAAUCUUCGGCAAUGGACGAAAGUCUGACCGAGCGACGCCGCGUGCGGGAUGAAGGCCUUCGGGUUGUAAACCGC